CAAAACAUGCAUCUGUUCGUAGUUGCCGCGUUUCCCUUGCCUUCGUUGACCGUUUCGAGAGCAAUUGGGUUUUUUUCGAGUCCCUCUUGUCUGACCGCCUAACCUCUCUGCACAGUGCUCAUACCCCCCUCGCGCAUGUCUGAAACUUGCCCGAACCUGACCCGCUCAGUCAUCACCGUUGGAUUCGGAUCAUCCCCACACAUCCCUAAAAUAUCUUCGGAUCUUUAAUUGGGCUCCCUAACCUAUUGAUCCGAGACCUUCCGAUUUUGAUCGGAGGGUCCAAACCUAAUCCUAUUGUCCCUAUGUAUAGACCAACCCCUACCCAAAUCAAACCAAACCCUAUUUUCUAGCGACCCUCCUCCCCGCCGCCACUCUCUUUGGUUCCCCUUGGGAUCACCAGCGAACAAACCAGCGCCUCCCCUGUCCCUCCUCGAUUCCCCACCAAACCACCCAAUCCAUCAAUUGAACCAACCAACAGCAACGCUGGAUCCCCCUCAUCCCCAAUCACACUCGAUCCCCCUCCUGCCCUACCUAGCGCACACUAUCCAAGGAGAGGAAAUCCUCCUCGCGCCCCCGAAGAGGAGUUUCUUCUGGAGCUCCUCCUGUACGCUCCCUCUACUCGGCCCCGUCGUCGUUUCGCCGCCACCGACAAGCUCCGGUGAGCAGCGGGCCAACCGCGCCUCCUUCCCUGCCCUCUCCCUCUCUCUGCACCUGAUGCUCGUAACCCCGUCGCAUCUCUGUCCAGGAGCACCGACGUCCACAGCCGCAGUCCCAUGCGCCUCCAUCUGCCGCGGCCAGCCGAGCCUCCCCCGCCGCCUCGCCACUCCGGUGACCACCUCCAGCAGGAGCCUCGAGGGCGCUUGUUGUUUCGAGCUCCAAGCCCCGGACGUCAAGUCCCCGUCCGUCGCUGUCACGAAGGUCGUCCGAGGAGCACCAAGCCACCGUCCCAAGGCCAAGCUGUCGGCUUGUCUCCGCUGCGCCUCGACCACCUGAUCCGGCCGCCCAUCCUCGGAUCCGUUCGUUUUUGCCGUUCCAAACCACCGCCGGGGCUCCUCCUUAUCGCCGCACCCGGAGGACGCCAAGCUGCCGGCACACCUCCCCAACACCCCUGCUUCGCCUGGAUCCGGAUGGGUCCGUGCCUCCCCUGCCGCUGCUUGCUCUGUCGAAGACGACAAGCACCCGCCCGAGCCAGCGGCAUCGUUGGCAGCUUCAGUACACGACGCCCACGUGCCCAUGCCUGGCCGCAUCCCGCUCGCCCGCGUCACUAACCCGCCGCCCUACUUUUUUUUAGGGUGAAAAACAAUUUAUUCAUCACCAAAAUCCACAUGAAGUGGGAUACAAGAAGGGUCAUGGGGAUUCCCAAGCCACACAUGGCGUCCCGGACCCUGAGAAAGAGCAAAUUUAGCUAGUCUAUGUGCCUCAUAGUUUGCGGCACGACCCUCAAACUCAAACUUAAUAGUAGCUGUGAGAUUUAUUUCGCUAAUGAUAGCGCCAUACCGGCCUCUGACCCCCUAGAAAUGUCUGAGACAACUUGUUUGCAAUUCGAGGCUAUGAUGAACUGAUGCAAAUUGAGAUCUUCUGCCAA